ACCAUCUUUGUAACGCAAUGUUCCAUAACCGUAUUCUCGGGGAGGAUUAAAAGGGAAUCGGGUGUAAAUCCCGGACAGUCCCGCUGCUGUAAACUUCAUAACGUACCGGAUUGAUCGCCACUGUUUUUAUUUAACGGGAAGGCUUCGGAUAUGGAAGUAAGUCAGAAGACCUGCUUUGCACACAAUUUCAAA
rnacentral:ncRNA from 2 species